GACGAACGCUGGCGGCGUGCCUAAUACAUGCAAGUCGAACGCGUCUACGUUAAUGAAAUCAAUGUGCUUGCACGGCGAUGGAUUUAACAUUAGACGAGUGGCGAACUGGUGAGUAACACGUGGGUAACCUGCCCUCAAGCAGGGGAUAACACUUGGAAACAGGUGCUAAUACCGCAUAAAUCUUGGAACCUCAUGGUUCCAAGCUGAAAGAUGGCGUAAGCUAUCGCUUUUGGAUGGACCCGCGGCGUAUUAGCUAGUUGGUGAGGUAAAGGCUCACCAAGGCGAUGAUACGUAGCCGACCUGAGAGGGUGAUCGGCCACAUUGGGACUGAGACACGGCCCAAACUCCUACGGGAGGCAGCAGUAGGGAAUCUUCCACAAUGGACGAAAGUCUGAUGGAGCAACGCCGCGUGAGUGAAGAAGGGUUUCGGCUCGUAAAACUCUGUUGUUAAAGAAGAACAGGUGUAAGAGUAACUGUUUACACCGUGACGGUAUUUAACCAGAAAGCCACGGCUAACUACGUGCCAGCAGCCGCAGUAAAA
rnacentral:rRNA from 1 species